rnacentral:rRNA from 1 species
AUUGAACGCUGGCGGCAGGCCUAACACAUGCAAGUCGAGCGAGCGGCGGACGGGUGCGUAAUGUAUGGGGACUGCCCGAUAGAGGGGGAUAACUACUGUAAAAGGUAGCUAAUACCGCAUACUAUCGGAUAACCCAUAUGGUAUUAGCUAGUAGGUGAGGUAAUGGCUCACCUAGGCGACGAUCCCUAGCUGGUCUGAGAGGAUGAUCAGCCACACUGGGACUGAGACACGGCCCAGACUCCUACGGAGGCAGCAGUGGGGAAUAUGUCACAAUGGGCGCAAGCCUGAUACAGCACAGCCGCGUGUAUGAAGAAGGCCCUAGGGUUGUAAAGUUCUUUCAUGCGGGAGGCGUUACCGACAGAAAAAGCAACGGCUAACUCCGUGCCAGCCGCCGCGGUAAUAC